rnacentral:rRNA from 1 species
AACGAAGUGAAUUGAAAUAUCUUAGUAACUUUAGGAAAAGAAAUCAAACGAGAUUGUUAUUUGGUGCAAACUAAAUAACAAGAGCCUAUUAACAAAACUUGUUAAAGUAAAAUGGAUUAAAAUCUGUUUGAAUAUAGGGGAACCUUCCUCUAAGGCUAAAUAUGAUAUAUAAGCGAUAGUGAAAAGUACCGUGAGGUAAAAUUUGAAAUAGUAGUUUUAUAAGCAGCUCGAGUGAAAAUUUAAAUAAGUAAUAAGAGUGUACCUUUUGCAUAAUGGGUCAGCAAGUUAAUUUUAGAUGCAAGCAAUGAUUUCGUGCGCUUUGCGCAUGGAACUAGCUUAGAUAAACCAAUUAUGAGAAAAUGAAUAAGUAUCUAGAAUUAGACCCGAAGGCUAGUGAUCUUACCAUGGUCAGGGUUAUAAAAGCCCGAACGGGUUAUCGUUGUAUAGAUAUCCGAAGAAUUGUGGUAAGUUAGUGAAAGACAAAACUGACUAGUAUAGCUGGUUUUCCGCGAAACCUAUAUGAGUAGGUAAUUUAACUAACAUCUUAGCAGGUACAGAACUGUGAUCUCGGACAAUAUCUUUUGAUUUUGUCAACAUCGGGGGGUUGUAGUGACUUUACCGGAGAGUAUUUGCACUCGGAAUGGCAAAGAUGAAUGUUGAAUAAUCGGACAUAGUGCGAUAAGGUUGUAUGUCUAAAGGGAAACAGCCCAGAACAAGAGUUAAGGUUCCAAAAUUAUUGUUGAGUGAAAUUAAGGAUGUUUUUUUUAAAAACAAUCAGGAAAUAGGCUUAGAAGCGGCCAUUUUUUGAAGACCUCGUAACAGAGCACUGAUUAAUUAAAUUUAGAAAAAAACACCGAAAAUUUAACGGAUCUAAACAAUAUACCGAAACCUUGUACACAUAUUUAUAAUAUUAAUAUUGUAUAUGUGGGGUAGCGGAACAUUGGAUAAAUAUUAAUUAUUAUUUCUUCUAAGAAGUAAUAAGUAUGGAUUAUUAUUAAAAAUAUUUAUUUAUUAAAGAUAUUUAUGUAAUAUUAUUAUACCUAAAAGGUAUAAUGUUUAGAUGAAUAUAUAGAUAGAUUAUAUCUGUCUUUAUUAUUAAUAUAAUCCAUCGAUAUAAUCCAAGAGAGAAUGCUGACAUGAGUAACGAAAAAGGAAUAUCCUCGCCUUAAGCUUAUGGUAUUAUAUUUAAUUUUCGGUAUCUAAAAGUAUUAAUCAAAAGGUAAUUUUGAUGAUAUUUAUAUAUAAAUACUUAAAAAUAAAAAACAAAACCUUUAACAAGUAAUAAAGGUUCUGGAAAAUUUUUUAUUUUUAUAAAGUGAAGUAUAGUACAAUAUAGAUAUAUUAUAAUCUAUAUAAUUUUCUUGUUACAAGUUUUCAAGAUUGUAUAGAUUUUAUCUAUAUUAAAUAUAUUUUCUUUUUUAUACUAUUGUAUAAGUAAGGUUUAUAUAUACCGUACCUAGAUACUAUCACAAGUAAGCAAGUAGAGAAUACAAAGGCGUUUGAGUGAACAAUCAUUAAGGAACUCGGCAAAUUGACUACCGUAACUUCGGGAUAAGGAGGGCCAUUAUGAUUAGUUUAACAUAUCUUAUGAUAUGAUUUAAUUAAACUAAUCAUAAGAGGAAACAUGAAAUAAUGUUGUACGACUGUUUAAUAAAAACACAGCACUCUGCAAAGAUAAAAUAUCAAAGUAUUGAGUGUGAUGUCUGCCCAAUGUCGGCUGGGUAACGGAUUUACCUUGGUUUUUAACUGAGGUUUUGAAGGAUACCCCGAUUAAUGGCGGCCUUACCUAUGAGGGUCCUAAGGUAGCGAAAUACCUUGGCCGUUAAAUGCGGUCCUGCAUGAAUGACUUAACGAUACAACAGCUGUCUCGAUGAUUGUCUCAGUGAAAUUGGAAUAGCAGUGCAGAUACUGUUUACCUCUAGAUAGACGAGAAGACCCUAUGCAGCUUUACUGUUACUAAUUGCAAGAGUGGAAAUUUAGGAUGAUUUCGAGUGUAUAAGGUAGUUGUUUGAUAACAAUGAAACACCUUUAUUCGUUUCCUACUAUAUGCUCUUGAGGAUUGGGAGGCAGUUUAUGCGGGGCACAGAUCCCACAAAAAGUACCUGGGUAUAUCCAAAGUUCAUUUUGUAAAUUUGUAAAUUUCUUUACAAAUAUUUUAAUUUGUUAUAAUUAUAUUCAUAAUUAUACAGUUAUUGUUAGAUUAAGUUCAAUAUUUAUUUUUUAUUUAAGUAAGAUUUUAACUAUAUGGUGAAUAGAUGUAUUUUAAACUUUACUCGGAGAGGGAGUGAUCCAACUCCGGGAUAUUUAAAAGUUUUUUCUCAUAUUAAUAUUGUAUUUUAUCUUUAUUGAUAUGAUAAUUAAUUAUACUUUAAAAGUUUAAUGGCUAAAUCUUGCUUUACUGUUUGACCUACAAGUCUAUCAGUCGCGUAAGCGGGGCAUAUGAUCACAAGAUGCAUAAAGGAAAGGUCUUGGAUUAUAGAAAAAGUUACGCUAGGGAUAACAGGCUAAUUUGCGCAAGAGAGUACAAAUUGAGUGCGCGGUUUGGCACCUCGAUGUCGGCUUAGCUCAUCCACAUGAAUGCAAAAAUCAUGAAGGGUUCGACUGUUCGUCGAUUAAAGAGCUACAUGAGCUGGGUUUAAUACGUCGUGAGACAGUAUGGUUUCUAUCUUCUAGAGGGAAUUAAAGUAGAAUAAAGAUAGCCCCUUCGUACGAAAGGAGUUGGGUAUAUUGACCUAUGGUUUACCUGUUGUUUAUGUUAUAUAUUAUUAUACAUAAUAUAUCAUUUACUUAUACUUAAGUAAAUUGUUCACAUAGGCAUGGCAGGAAGGCUACGUCAGUUAAAGAUAAGUGCUGAAAGCAUUUAAGCGCGAAGCUUACUUUAGGAUACUUUUAAACGUAGUAGAACACUACGA